GUGAGGAAUUUUCCGCAAUGGGCGAAAGCCUGACGGAGCAAUGCCGCGUGAAGGAUGAUGGCCUAUGGGUUGUAAACUUCUUUUCUCAGAAAAGAAUUAUGACGGUAUCUGAGGAAUAAGCAUCGGCUAACUCUGUGCCAGCAGCCGCGGUAAGACAGAGGAUGCAAGCGUUAUCCGGAAUGAUUGGGCGUAAAGCGUCUGUAGGUUGUUUAAAAAGUAUUCUGUCAAAGAUUAGGGCUUAACCCUAGAUAGGCAGAAUAAACUUUUAAGCUAGAGUUUGGUAGAGGCAGAGGGAAUUCCCGGUGGAGCGGUGAAAUGCGUAGAUAUCGGGAGGAACACCAAAGGCGAAGGCACUCUGCUGGGCCAAUACUAACACUGAGAGACGAAAGCGAGGGGAGCAAAUGGGAUUAGAUACCCGUGUAGUCC
rnacentral:rRNA from 1 species